rnacentral:rRNA from 1 species
UUAAGUGAUCCACCUGGGGAGUACGAUCGCAAGAUUGAAACUCAAAGGUAUUGACGGGGGCCCGCACAAGCGGAGGAACAUGUGGUUUAAUUCGAUGAUACGCGAGGAACGUUACCUGGGCUUAAAUGUAGAACGACGGAUCGGGAAACUGAUCCUUCUUCGGACGGUCUGCAAGGUGCUGCAUGGCUGUCGUCAGCUCGUGCCGUGAGGUGUCGGGUUAAGUCCCAUAACGAGCGCAACCCUCAUCAUUAGUUGCCAGCGGCUAAUGCCGGGGACUCUAAUGAAACUGCCGGCGUCAACCGAGAGGAAGGUGGGGAUGACGUCAAGUCAGCACGGCCAUUAUGUCCAGGGCUACACACGUGUUACAAUGGUCGAUACAAAGGGCAGCUACCUGGUAACAGGAUGCUAAUCUCUAAAAUCGGUCUUAGUUCGGAUCGAAGUCUGCAACUCGACUUCGUAAAGCUGGAUUCGCUAGUAAUCGCGCAUCACCCACGGCGCGGUGAAUACGUUCCCGGGCGUUGUACACACCGCCCGUCAAGCCAUGGAAGCUGGGGUACUUACAAGUCCGUAAGCGUAAGGAGCGCC